CACCUUUUUGUGUUCCUUGAGCUCAGUCAGGAAGGGCCCUCAUGACUGGGCCUCAUGCCAAAAAACUAGUUACAAAGAAGCUAGAGUUCCAGACUGCGCCUAAGCUUCAUGAGACCUCUCCUCGUCUGCACAGACGAGUGGCCAACACUGGAGCCCAGGCUAUUGCUUCCCAGUCUGGUGGUGAAUCGUCCAUAGUCUGGGACAGGCAGGGGAGCCCAGCGGCAUGCUGGAUAUGAAUGUAUCUUCAGCCUUCAAGUUACCAUUGGCCAGAGGGAAGAGUGGCCCCAAACUCUGAAGAGCGCUGGCAAGGCUCCCCAUCUUCCUCUCCCUAGCCUCCACAGGAACAUCACAGUAUGGCUUGGCAUUUUUUUUUUUUUUUUGAGACGGAGUCUCACUCUGUCACCCAGGCUGGAGUGCAGUGGUGUGAUCUCAGCUCACUGCAAGCUCUGCCUCCCGGGUUCAUGCCAUUCUCCUGCCUCAGCCUCCCGAGUAACUGGGACUACAGGCGCCCGCCACCACGCCCAGCUAAUUUUUUGUAUUUUUAGUAGAGACGGGGUUUCACUGUGUUAGCCAGGAUGGUCUCAAUCUCCUGACCUUGUGAUCUGCCCGCCUCAGCCUCCCAAAGUGCUGGGAUGACAGGCGUGAGCCACGCGCCCAGCCUGGCUUGGCAUCUUUAGGGCAGAUCUCAGUAUGCCUUGCAUUCCAAUUCAUCUCCAGAAUCCUACACUUCCUCCAAGGUCAGUCCUCAUGCGAGUCUCCAACCUCAUCCCCACUUCAUUUUCCUCAUUGUACUUACCAUCUUUUAUUCGUAUCCCACCAAAUUUUGGCUUUGUUAGCUAUACUGCAAAUAGUAGAUGCUCAAUAAACUACUAGUGAAUGAAUGAA
rnacentral:lncRNA from 1 species